rnacentral:rRNA from 1 species
UACGGGGGGAGCAAGCGUUGUUCGGAUUUACUGGGCGUAAAGGGCGCGUAGGCGGUCAGCACAAGUCAGUUGUGAAAUCUCCGGGCUUAACUCGGAAAGGUCAACUGAUACUGUGCGACUAGAGUGCAGAAGGGGCAACUGGAAUUCUCGGUGUAGCGGUGAAAUGCGUAGAUAUCGAGAGGAACACCUGUGGCGAAGGCGGGUUGCUGGGCUGAUACUGACGCUGAGGCGCGAAAGCUAGGGGAGCGAACGGG